rnacentral:misc_RNA from 1 species
GAUGAAGAACGUAGUGAAAUGCGAUAAGUAAUGUGAAUUGCAGAAUUCAGUGAAUCAUCGAAUCUUUGAACGCACAUUGCGCCCGCCAGUAUUCUGGCGGGCAUGCCUGUCUGAGCGUCAUUUCAACCCUCAUGCCCCUAGGGCGUGGUGUUGGGGAUCGGCCAAAGCCCGCGAGGGACGGCCGGCCCCUAAAUCUAGUGGCGAACCCGUCGUGGCCUCCUCUGCGAAGUAGUGAUAUUCCGCAUCGGAGAGCGAUGAGCCCCUGCCGUUAAACCCCCAACUUUCCAAGGUUGACCUCAGAUCAGGUAGGAAUACCCGCUGAACUUAAGCAUAUCAAUAAGCGGAGGA